UAAAAUCUCUGUUUACAGCUUAACUAUGAAGCUAUAAAUAAUCAAAGCUAAACACACCCAUCUACUAGCUGCUGUCCUGUUGCCAUCAGUCAUGUUGGAGUCCUGCCACAUGUUCCAGCGAUGCUGCUGUGGACUCUCCGGAACUGAGGAGACAGGUUUGAAAGUGAUAUGUUGAGAUCCAUGGAUUUCCUAUUUUGUUCUUCAGAGAAUCAACAGUGUCAGAACUAUCCCAUGGAGAAUUGCCCUCAACAUGUGCCACAUCCAUGAAGUACUCAUCCGUAAUGACAGUG
rnacentral:lncRNA from 1 species